UACAGAGGGUGCGAGCGUUAAUCGGAAUUAUUGGGCGUAAAGCGCGUGUAGGCGGCUUGUUAAGUCGGGUGUGAAAUCCCUCAGCUCAACUGAGGAAGUGCGCCCGAAACUGGCGAGCUUGAGUGCCGGAGAGGAUGGCGGAAUACCCCAAGUAGAGGUGAAAUUCGUAGAUAUGGGGUGGAACACCGGUGGCGAAGGCGGCCAUCUGGACGGUAACUGACGCUGAGACGCGAAAGCGUGGGUAGCAAACAGG
rnacentral:rRNA from 1 species